GAUGAAGAACGUAGCGAAAUGCGAUAACUAAUGUGAAUUGCAGAAUUCAGUGAAUCAUCGAGUCUUUGAACGCACAUUGCGCCCCCUGGUAUUCCGGGGGGCAUGCCUGUCCGAGCGUCAUUGCUGCCCUCAAGCACGGCUUGUGUGUUGGGCUCCGUCCCCCCGGGGACGGGUCCGAAAGGCAGCGGCGGCACCGCGUCCGGUCCUCGAGCGUAUGGGGCUUCGUCACCCGCUCUUGUAGGCCCGGCCGGCGCUUGCCGACACAUCAAUCUUUUUUCCAGGUUGACCUCGGAUCAGGUAGGGAUACCCGCUGAACUUAAGCAUAUCAAUAAGCGGAGGA
rnacentral:misc_RNA from 1 species